CCUACGGGGGGCUGCAGUAGGGAAUCUUCCACAAUGGGCGAAAGCCUGAUGCAGCAACGCCGCGUGGGUGAAGAAGGUCUUCGGAUCGUAAAACCCUGUUGUUAGAGAAGAAGGUGCGUGAGAGUAACUGUUCACGUUUCGACGGUAUCUAACCAGAAAGCAACGGCUAACUACGUGCCAGCAGCCGCGGUAAUACGUAGGGGGCAAGCGUUAUCCGGAUUUAUUGGGCGUAAAGGGAACGCAGGCGGUCUUUUAAGUCUGAUGUGAAAUCCUUCGGCUUAACCGGAGUAGUGCAUUGGAAACUGGGAGACUUGAGUGCAGAAGAGGAGAGUGGAACUCCAUGUGUAGCGGUGAAAUGCGUAGAUAUAUGGAAGAACACCAGUGGCGAAAGCGGCUCUCUGGUCUGUAACUGACGCUGAGGUUCGAAAGCGUGGGUAGCAAACAGGAUUAGAUACCCGGGUAGUC
rnacentral:rRNA from 1 species